rnacentral:rRNA from 1 species
GGGACCGAAGCCGAGGCAGUAAGACGUGGGUGAGAGACAACAGGUUGCUAUUCCUGUACGACCGUCUACGUGUGGAGAGAAGAGAUGACACAGUAGGAAAAGCGAAGCACACUGUUGGUUAUGGGUGCACAUGGAUGAACGCAGACGAAGUAGGGAAAUCCGCUGUGUUAAUGCUGGGAUGUGAUAGGAAGCGAAAAUUAGUGGCGAAGUAGCUGAGUUCACACUGUCAAGAAAAGUCUCUACCGAGGUGAAAGGUACCCGUUCCGCAAACCGACACAGGUGGGGGAGGAGAGUAUCCUAAGGCCAGCGAGAGAACUGGUGUUAAGGAACUCGGCAAAAUGACACCGUAACUUAGGGAUAAGGGGUGCAACCAUCAGGUGGCCGCAGAGAAUAGGCCCAAGCGACGGUUUACCAAAAACAUAGGUUUCUG